rnacentral:lncRNA from 1 species
CUGCUACAAAAUCAGAAGGUUAUGAAUAGCAUGGGGAAAUAUGGGGGGGGGGGGGAAGCCCUUCCUAAUGUAGUCCUAAGGGUCUAAACCCAAACCUUAGAUUUAUAAUUAAAGCUCACUGUCUAUAUACUAACCUACACCUUAGGAGAAGGCUCAUCUUUCUUAUUGCAGAGUAAAAAAGAAAGCUGCCACAAGCUUUCACUUAGUGUUAAGGCAGCACACAGUUGCUUAUCUGUUGUGUUCCCCCCAUAUAGUAUAUAUUAUACUAUGGAAAUUCAACAUCAUGGUCUUUUUUUUUUUUCAGGCCAGAUGUUUUACCCUGCUAUGUUAAGUCAUCUUGACAUCCUGCCAUGAAAUGGAAACAACUGCUAGUUUUAAUAUUGCUCCAUAUCUUUAUUACGGGGAAACGGAAAUAGUACUAAAGAAAAUAAAGGUAUUAAGGACAACUGCAUACACAGAAGAAAUCAUGUUGUAUGGAACCCAAUUAAAAGGGCAUUGAAAGAUUUGUUUUAAAAGAAUCUGAAAGAGAGGAAGAUACAGAAUGACUGGGAAAAUCAUGGAUG